AGUGAACGCUGGCGGUAGGCCUAACACAUGCCAGUCGAACGGCAGCACAGUAAGAGCUUGCUCUUACGGGUGGCGGGUGGCGGACGGGGGAGGAAUACAUCGGAAUCUACUUUUUCGGGGGGGAUAACGUAGGGAAACUUACGCUAAUACCGCAUACGACCUACGGGUGAAAGCAGGGGAUUUUCGGACUUUGCGCGAUUGAUUGAGCCGAUGUCGGAUUAGCUAGUUGGCGGGGUAAAGGCCCACCAAGGCGACGAUCCGUAGCUGGUCUGAGAGGAUGAUCAGCCACACUGGAACUGAGACACGGUCCAGACUCCUACGGGAGGCAGCAGUGGGGAAUAUUGGACAAUGGGCGCAAGCCUGAUCCAGCCAUACCGCGUGGGUGAAGAAGGCCUUCGGGUUGUAAAGCCCUUUUGUUGGGAAAGAAAAGCAGCAGGUUAAUACCCCGCUGUUCUGACGGUACCCAAAGAAUAAGCACCGGCUAACUUCGUG
rnacentral:rRNA from 1 species